GUGGGUGAGCAUGGGAGGGAACCCGAUAAAGUGGAGUCUUACCGGAUGACUCAUACUCAUCAGGAUGGUAUUUUUGUUCGAGAUGAGUCGAGAGAUUUAUAUGAGAGGGCUACAUCUCUCAUUGCGGAGCGUGACAACGAGUCUGCAGCAUCUACGCAGUAGAGCCGUAUCGAGGCCGAGGUGUUCACAGAGUUGAUGAGACCAGAGCGCUACGGCCGAGUGAGAGGUUAUGGAAUAGGAGUCACCCCCACUCAAUUAUCUGAGGUUAGUAGAUAUACGCAGCAUGCUGUAGUAGAUGCUCAGGAUUCACGCAUCCGCAGACUCGAGGUGGAAUACAGAAGAUUAAACAGAGUCAUGCCGCUGAGAUGGAGGAGAUACGACAGAGCCGUGCCGAGAUGCAGGCCAUGAGGGGACAGAUUGAUCGGCUUACAUCUUUAUUAGAGAUGUAUGGCCCAUCUCAGGCUCCUAACACAUCAGGCACCCGUCGAGACGGCGGCACGUCACGUGGAGACAGCGACGACCAUCUG